rnacentral:rRNA from 1 species
UGGUCAAGUUAUUAAGGGUGUAGGGCGGAUGCCUUGGCACUAGGAGCCGAUGAAGGACGCGAUAAGCUGCGAUAAGCUUCGGGGAGUUGCACGUAAACUUUGAUCCGAAGAUUUCCGAAUGAGGAAACUCACUUAGAGUAAUGUCUAAGUAUUGUUAAGUGAAUACAUAGCUUAAUGAGGGGAACCCGGGGAACUGAAACAUCUAAGUACCCGGAGGAAAAGAAAGAAAUUCGAUUCCGUAAGUAGCGGCGAGCGAACGCGGAACAGCCCAAACCAGUGAAGUUUUCUUUGCUGGGGUUGAGGACAUGCGACAUGGAAGCAAUAUUGUAAACGAAGAGAGUUGGAAAGCUCCGCCAUAGAAGGUAAUAGCCCUGUAAUUGAAACGAAAAAGCUACUAGCAUGAUCCAGAGUACCACGGGACACGUGAAACCCUGUGGGAAGCAGGAGGGACCAUC